rnacentral:rRNA from 1 species
AAAUUGAAGAGUUUGAUCAUGGCUCAGAUUGAACGCUGGCGGCAGGCCUAACACAUGCAAGUCGAACGGUAACAGGAAGCAGCUUGCUGCUUCGCUGACGAGUGGCGGACGGGUGAGUAAUGUCUGGGAAACUGCCUGAUGGAGGGGGAUAACUACUGGAAACGGUGGCUAAUACCGCAUAACGUCGCAAGACCAAAGAGGGGGACCUUCGGGCCUCUUGCCAUCAGAUGUGCCCAGAUGGGAUUAGCUAGUUGGUGAGGUAACGGCUCACCAAGGCGACGAUCCCUAGCUGGUCUGAGAGGAUGACCAGCCACACUGGAACUGAGACACGGUCCAGACUCCUACGGGAGGCAGCAGUGGGGAAUAUUGCACAAUGGGCGCAAGCCUGAUGCAGCCAUGCCGCGUGUAUGAAGAAGGCCUUCGGGUUGUAAAGUACUUUCAGCGGGGAGGAAGGUGUUGUGGUUAAUAACCGCAGCAAUUGACGUUACCCGCAGAAGAAGCACCGGCUAACUCCGUGCCAGCAGCCGCGGUAAUACGGAGGGUGCAAGCGUUAAUCGGAAUUACUGGGCGUAAAGCGCACGCAGGCGGUCUGUCAAGUCGGAUGUGAAAUCCCCGGGCUCAACCGGUACGGCCGCAAGGUUAAAACUCAAAUGAAUUGACGGGGGCCCGCACAAGCGGUGGAGCAUGUGGUUUAAUUCGAUGCAACGCGAAAGAACCUGCGGUCUUGACAUCCACAGAAGAAUCCAGAGAUGGAUUUGUGCCUUCGGGAACUGUGAGACAGGUGCUGCAUGGCUGUCGUCAGCUCGUGUUGUGAAAUGUUGGGUUAAGUCCCGCAACGAGCGCAACCCUUAUCCUUUGUUGCCAGCGAUUAGGUCGGGAACUCAAAGGAGACUGCCAGUGAUAAACUGGAGGAAGGUGGGGAUGACGUCAAGUCAUCAUGGCCCUUACGACCAGGGCUACGUGCUAUAAUGGCGCAUUCAAAGUUAAGUGACCUCGCGAGAGCAAGCGGACCUCAUAAAGUGCGUCGUAGUCCGGAUUGGAGUCUGCAACUCGACUCCAUGAAGUCGGAAUCGCUAGUAAUCGUGGAUCAGAAUGCCACGGUGAAUACGUUCCCGGGCCUUGUACACACCGCCCGUCACACCAUGGGAGUGGGUUGCAAAAGAAGUAGGUAGCUUAACCUUCGGGAGGGCGCUUACCACUUUGUGAUUCAUGACUGGGGUGAAGUCGUAACAAGGUAACCGUAGGGGAACCUGCGGUUGGAUCACCUCCUUACCUUAAAGAA